CUCUGAUAUUAUACUCCUUCUCAACCGAUUAGCAUCCUUAAAAACACUUGCCAACUCCUCCAUUUCCACCUUCAUUGCCCCGUCAACCUCUAUCUUUUCUUUAUUUCCCUGAUAAAUCACCCAAUCCUCUGCAACUCUCCUCACAAACCCUGCCUGUGCCCUUUUGAUUCUGUCCACAAGAUCGGGCACCAUCAACCUCAGUCCACGCUCAAUCUGCCCAAUCUUGAUUAUCAAACUCUUUGAAGGGUCCUUCCAUGCCAUCAUAGCCUGCCAGGGCC
rnacentral:misc_RNA from 1 species